UACGGGGGGAUGCAAGCGUUAUCCGGAAUUAUUGGGCGUAAAGGGUCCUGAGGUGGCUAGCCAAGUCUAUUGUGAAAUAUCAGGGCUUAACCCUGAACAUGCGGUGGAAACUAGAAAGCUUGAGUACAGUAGGGGCGGAGGGAAUUUCCGGUGGAGCGGCGAAAAUGCAUAGAUAUCGGGAAGAACACCAACGGCGAAAGCACUCCGCUGGGCUGAUACUGACACUGACAGACGAAAGCUAGGGUAGCGAAAGGG
rnacentral:rRNA from 1 species